UCCCUGGAGGACUAGUGGUUAGGCCACAGUGCUCCCCCCGCAGCGGCACGGGUUUGAUUCCUAGCCAGGGAG
rnacentral:tRNA from 1 species